rnacentral:tRNA from 1 species
UGUUCUGUGGCUUAGUUGGUUAAAGCGCCAGUCUAGCGAACACGGAGUCGUGGGUUUGAAUCCCAACAGAACGU